ACUGAAUGCACAUCAUGUCAGGAUAGGAUCAAACAUCAUUAGUGAUGAAUGGCGUGCUUAUCGUUCCCUGCAUGCACUUGGUUACAAUCAUAUGACUGAAUCAUGCAAGGUGGCCUGUAGAUGCCCAAACAGGUGCUGAAUCAACUGAAUCAUUCUGCCCUUUUCGAUGCUCCUUUUCUCUUCUCAUUUAAGUACCAGGAGGAGCUCUUCUUUCUGAGGGUGAACAAGAUCACCUGAUUCCUCCACCUCGCGGUGCCUUUUGGAGAGUGACUUCUUUGUUGCUGCUGGCUGAAUGAUUGCUCAUUCGUUCCUCCAUGAUGGGCCGGGCCUUGAGGACUCAGCCCAGCUGUUCUGCAUGUGCUCUUUGGUGGAAGCCCAGAAGAAGUCAUGAUGAAAAUAUCAAGGACUGUGCUGACCUCGAUAUCCGCAAGACAGUCAAAGUGCUGGAGGGUACAGAAGAAUUGUCAUCUGAAGGAAAGAACAAUACUAAUGAGUUGUCACUGUCUUGGGAUUUGCCUCAAGUCACAUGUGAGAACAGAAGAUGCUGCUGGACAAGCUGAUGCUCCACGCAGAACUUGGAAGAAGCUCAAGACGGGUUAAACAGUUACGAAGGGGC